UGGGGAAUAUUGGGGCAAUGGGGGAAACCCUGACCCAGCAACGCCGCGUGAAGGAAGAAGGCCUUCGGGUUGUAAACUUCUUUUAGCAGGGACGAAGGACGUGACGGUACCUGCAGAAAAAGCAACGGCUAACUACGUGCCAGCAGCCGCGGUAAUACGUAGGUUGCGAGCGUUGUCCGGAAUUACUGGGUGUAAAGGGCGUGUAGGCGGAGCUGCAAGUCAGAUGUGAAAUGUCAUGGCUCAACCAUGGAACUGCAUUUGAAACUGUGGCCCUUGAGUAUCGGAGAGGCAAGCGGAAUUCCUAGUGUAGCGGUGAAAUGCGUAGAUAUUAGGAGGAACACCAGUGGCGAAGGCGGCUUGCUGGACGACAACUGACGCUGAGGCGCGAAAGCGUGGGGAGCAAACAGGGUUAGAUACCC
rnacentral:rRNA from 1 species